UUUAUGUACCAAAUUAGUCGUUUCCAGAACCAUCUCAGCAAUCUAUAAAGAAAAAAGCCUGGUUCUCUUUGUCUUCGAGCUUUCAUUCCUAAAGAAAGUGGAAUAAGUAAAGCUGGACCUUCUCCCUUCAUCGACAACCAAAAGAGAGAAGCCACCCGCGGUACACCUACUAUAUGAUCGUCGAAUCACUGCUUUGUUCACUGAAAUGCGAGAAUACCUUUUGAAGUUUAGAGCAAGCCCCUUCCCCAUUGUUUUAGCGUUCGUGCCUUCCCCCAUCAGUUUCUUCAAUAGGCUUCCUCCUCUCCUACUGCAUUACUGCCUACUACAACUAAAGCAAAAGCACCAAGCCAAGACUUAGCCUAGCUACCACCGAAGCCAUAGGCUACAUUAACUUAACUAAGCUACCAUAAUCACAAGGGAAAGCAAACCACACUAAUACAAAUUGAGUUUCAUGCUCCUUUGCCCAGAGACAGGGCUACUGGUUCUAUCCUUACUUUCUUAUUUUUCUUUCAGAACCUUGGGCGACUUCUCCCCCUUUUAAAGACGUUAGCAAUAACAGCUUAUGAAAUAUUCCUACUAAUAGCUACCUCCUCUAGAACAGCGAGAACAAGAGAAAUCUCUGUCCCAAAGCCUUACCUUCCCUUUUCUUCCCUUUUUCUAGCUAAACGCAAAGAGAACAAUUGUUAUUGUAUUUUCCUUCCAACACGUUGUCAAAGAGCGGAUUCAUACCAUCCUCUUAAAUAGUCGAGUUACGGAAAAGAGAUAGCAUUCGACAUGUUCAAGCUGAAAACGACUUCGAACUAUAAUCUUUAUUCUAUGAGGUAAUUAGAAAUAUCGUAAGAGAAGAAGUAAUGCCCAAAGACUCCUAUGCCUUUCUUGGUUGGACCAACCCAACUAGGGAUUUUUGACAAGUCUUUUUUUAUUUUUAGAGCAAGAAACGGAACUACAAGAAAGCUUUCUUUAUUUUUCUGAAAUGCAAAACCACCCCGACCUCAUUUUUAACAAAUAUGUAACCAAUUUAAUGAUUUGCUGGAAAAAAUAAUAAAGAAUUACCUCCCCAAUGGUCUCUUUCAGACUUUUCCCAAAAAGGUGAUUUUAUCUGUACCGUAAAGAGGUAAAAGGAAUUUUUUAUUCUAAAACAAAAGAAGGUAUUCUCCCUACUGGAACCGGGCAUACAUAAAUAGACUAUACUUAACUAUGAAACUCAUUGAAUAGGGGCAAACGCUUAUGCUACUACCUUAGUCUAAGUCAUAGACCAUGGGCAGACACCAAUGCUAUCUCAGGCUAUGUGUCACGGACUAAGUUUUCUCUCAACAAGUAAUAGAUCGUGCAGCACUUGAAUGAGCGCUCCCACCCAAGUCAACCUUCAACAGUUUGAUAUCUAAACAAAUAACCAUAAGCUAUGGUUAGUCCCAAGCAUUCACAAUAAGACACAUUAUAUCGAGAUUAAUCUCAAGCACACACAAAAAAAUACAUUCACAUCGAGAAAAAAAAAUACAUCGAGGUAACAUCUGGGACAUUCAAUCGAGAUGGAUUUUAUUAUAAUCGAGAAUCAUACAUCGGGACUUCCCACCAUCACCAAAGCCAGGGCGGUAGCCUUUGGUGGAUGGCUUAAGCUCGUAUAACAACCGGUGAGACAGCCCAACAAUACGCUGCCGGCUUACCUCUAAAGAGCCUUAGAGAUUUUAGAGCUAUGCUACACUAACCAUUAUAAUGUUUAAAAUGGAAACACUUUUCCUAACAUAAGAGAUCUACCCGACCAUGACCUUAUACAUGGGUGGCUCAUGACAACCUAAGCCCCGGUCAUGGCCCUAUACAAGGUUAGCUCAUGACACUAUGGCUACCUUACUACUAGUAGGGGUAGGGCGAACAGGCAAUGAUUAUAGAACUAAAGAACUAACUUAAAACCAGAAGGCUUCUUCAUAAUUAGUCUCAAUUAUUUUUGCUAUACUAUUAAAUUAAGGCUCACAUUUCAUGCCCGAAUGGCUGGCUAUUAGUAUCAAAGGCAACCUACAUUUGAUAGACGAACAUCAAUAUCCCUAUUGAAAUACGGAAGGUGACCCUUUUCAAUGAGCGAAUCUAAGGAACGCUAGAAAAGGUCUAAUGGCGAACUCAUGCUACCUUUGGCUAUAGAACGACGGAGCUUAAUCCAUACUAUGUCAAGGAAGUCAGGGCUUUCGCCUACCUGGGUCUAAGGAACCUUGAGUCCCUACUCUUUCUUUUGGAAAAGCACUCGGAAGUUAGAUAUUUCAUUUUUGAGUCACCGAGGCAAAGAGAAGUAUGGCGAAGCCUAAGGAGUUUUUCCUUUUCGCAGUGUAUUGCUGAGAGGUUGUGCAAAAAUGCACUUCGCAUCAGUGUAGUGAGUGGUAGGUUAACAAGACUCUGUUUUGAUAUCGUAGAGACGGUGACCUGUACCGUUAAGGUAAGGCCGGAAGCUUGUCGAGACCGGCCUGUGUUGAGCACUCGAUCGUUACUAGAGCAUAGAAAGGAGAUGACGUAACAAGCUGCAGAGCCGAAAGCUCAUGUUUUGAGAUCUAGAUAGGCGGGCCAUUCCCUUAGGUUUUCAAGUUCCAGGCGAGUGUAGGAUACGGAAUGAGACAUAAGCUAGUAGCUAGUUAUAGAAGCUACUAGCGAGCUGGCAUAUGAGUACGGGUCAGUAUACGAGCCUGGCCCGGCCAACGGGCGAGCGUAGUUGGGCCUUAACGCUCCGUAGAGUAAGAAUAAGAAGCACUAUUGCAUUGCCAAACUUUUCCCUUUCUCUCUAGUUCUCUAAAACUUCAUACAUGACGGCAGCUUCAGCACACACUGCUAUCGCAUUCACCUUUGUUUAGUAUCUACCCACCAUAGAAAGACCUUCUCAGCCCCUGAUCAAGUUGUGAAACCACCACAUAAGCCCUUAUGCAGACGAUAGGGAUGUGUGUUCAACACCUGCUUUUAGUCAGAAAAUAGCUACUUCCUCUCGGCUGUCGAGAUAGGUCUUCUGUCAUGAGUCAACCUUAUAUAGGGCCAUAAUCAAGGCUUAGAUUAUCAUGAGCCACUCAUGUAUAAAGUUAUGAUUGAGUAGAGGUGCCAAGAGGAGAGGAUAGAUCUCUUGUGCUACGAAAAAUAUCUCCAUUUUAAACAUUGUUAUGAUUAGUGGUAGCAUAACUCUAAAAUCUCUUAGGUUCUUUAGGGGAGGUGAGCAGUCAGCAUAUUGUUGGGCUGUCUCACUGGUUAGGAUACGAACGUAGGUCACCCGUCAAGGGCUGCCCCCUAACCCCGAUGAUGGUGUGA
rnacentral:lncRNA from 1 species